AGAGUUUGAUCCUGGCUCAGAUUGAUUGCUGGCGGCAGGCCUAACACAUGCAAGUCGAGCGGUAGAGAGAAGCUUGCUUCUCUUGAGAGCGGCGGACGGGUGAGUAAUGCCUAGGAAUCUGCCUGGUAGUGGGGGAUAACGUUCGGAAACGGACGCUAAUACCGCAUACGUCCUACGGGAGAAAGCAGGGGACCUUCGGGCCUUGCGCUAUCAGAUGAGCCUAGGUCGGAUUAGCUAGUUGGUGAGGUAAUGGCUCACCAGGGCGACGAUCCGUAACUGGUCUGAGAGGAUGAUCAGUCACACUGGAACUGAGACACGGUCCAGACUCCUACGGGAGGCAGCAGUGGGGAAUAUUGGACAAUGGGCGAAAGCCUGAUCCAGCCAUGCCGCGUGUGUGAAGAAGGUCUUCGGAUUGUAAAGCACUUUAAGUUGGGAGGAAGGGCAGUAAAUUAAUACCUUGCUGUUUUGACGUUACCGACAGAAUAAGCACCGGCUAACUCUGUGCCAGCAGCCGCGGUAAUACAGAGGGUGCAAGCGUUAAUCGGAAUUACUGGGCGUAAAGCGCGCGUAGGUGGUUUGUUAAGUUGGAUGUGAAAUCCCCGGGCUCAACCUGGGAACUGCAUUCAAAACUGACUGACUAGAGUAUGGUAGAGGGUGGUGGAAUUUCCUGUGUAGCGGUGAAAUGCGUAGAUAUAGGAAGGAACACCAGUGGCGAAGGCGACCACCUGGACUAAUACUGACACUGAGGUGCGAAAGCGUGGGGAGCAAACAGGAUUAGAUACCCUGGUAGUCCACGCCGUAAACGAUGUCAACUAGCCGUUGGAAGCCUUGAGCUUUUAGUGGCGCAGCUAACGCAUUAAGUUGACCGCCUGGGGAGUACGGCCGCAAGGUUAAAACUCAAAUGAAUUGACGGGGGCCCGCACAAGCGGUGGAGCAUGUGGUUUAAUUCGAAGCAACGCGAAGAACCUUACCAGGCCUUGACAUCCAAUGAACUUUCUAGAGAUAGAUUGGUGCCUUCGGGAACAUUGAGACAGGUGCUGCAUGGCUGUCGUCAGCUCGUGUCGUGGGAUGUUGGGUUAAGUCCCGUAACGAGCGCAACCCUUGUCCUUAGUUACCAGCACGUCAUGGUGGGCACUCUAAGGAGACUGCCGGUGACAAACCGGAGGAAGGUGGGGAUGACGUCAAGUCGUCAUGGCCCUUACGGCCUGGGCUACACACGUGCUACAAUGGUCGGUACAGAGGGUUGCCAAGCCGCGAGGUGGAGCUAAUCCCACAAAACCGAUCGUAGUCCGGAUCGCAGUCUGCAACUCGACUGCGUGAAGUCGGAAUCGCUAGUAAUCGCGAAUCAGAAUGUCGCGGUGAAUACGUUCCCGGGCCUUG
rnacentral:rRNA from 1 species